UGAAAUCCAGUGGCUAAAACUAACCAAUACACAAACCACUCCCUUUAAGAAACAAACUUCGAACGAACUUAAAUUGUCCAAUUUCAAUGGCCAAUCGACAUCGGAUUGAGCCCGAAACUUGGUCAACAUCAAAAUAUGGUGGGAGGAGUCAUUUGGUGGGUUUUGAUUUACAUCCAGUGGCUAAAACUAUGCAAUACACCAACCAUUUUAUUUAAGGAACGAACUUCGUAUGAACUUGAAUUGUCCAAUGUCAGUGGCCAAUCGAUAUCAGAUUGAGCCCAAAACUUGGUCAACAGCAUAAUAUGG
rnacentral:lncRNA from 1 species